UACGAAGGGGGCUAGCGUUGCUCGGAAUUACUGGGCGUAAAGCGCACGUAGGCGGCUUUCUAAGUCGGGGGUGAAAUCCUGGAGCUCAACUCCAGAACUGCCUUCGAUACUGGAAAGCUCGAGUCCGGGGAGAGGUGAGUGGAACUGCGAGUGUAGAGGUGAAAUUCGUAGAUAUUCGCAAGAACACCAGUGGCGAAGGCGGCUCACUGGCCCGGUACUGACGCUGAGGUGACGAAAGGCCGUGGGGAGCAAACAGG
rnacentral:rRNA from 1 species